rnacentral:misc_RNA from 1 species
GAUGAAGAACGUAGUGAAAUGCGAUACGUAGUGUGAAUUGCAGAAUUCAGUGAAUCAUCGAAUCUUUGAACGCACAUUGCGCCCCUUGGUAUUCCGAGGGGCAUGCCUGUUCGAGCGUCAUUAUAACCCCUCAAGCUCAGCUUGGUGUUGGGGCCUGCUGCACUGGCAGCCCUUAAAAUCAGUGGCGGCGCCAUCUGGCUCUAAGCGUAGUAAUUCUUCUCGCUAUGGAGUCCUGGUGGAUGCUUGCCAUCAACCCCCAAUUUUUCUAUGGUUGACCUCGGAUCAGGUAGGGAUACCCGCUGAACUUAAGCAUAUCAAUAAGCGGAGGA